GGAUCUUUACUACUAUUUAUGGACCAACCGGUCUGAACUCUAAAGCUAAUUUCUGGAGAGAGUUAAUUGAAGUUCGAAAAUCUUUCCCUGGUCCUUGGGUGAUGGGCGGAGAUUUCAGUGCUGCUUAUAAAUUAUUUGAAAGGAAUGAAAAUCCACAGCCUCGUAGUGUUACUCUGGCCUUCUCUCGAUUAAUCAGAUCUUUUC
rnacentral:lncRNA from 1 species